CUGAUAAAGGAUGAAGCUUACUGCCAGGUGAUGAAGCAAGUUACUGCCAACACCAGCUCCAAACCGGACAGUUGUCAGAGAGGAUGGAGGCUGUUGUACAUCCUGACAGCUUACCAUCGCUGCUCUGAUGUUAUGAAGCCAUUUGUGUUGAAGUUUCUGCAGGACGCCUGUGCCACCCCUGGGAUGCAGUAUCAAGGUAUUGCCAAUGCAUGUGAGCAGAAUCUGAGGAGGACUUUUCAAUACGGCGGGCGCAUACAGUAUCCCAACAGCAUGGA